AUUGGGACGUUUUUCAGAGGACUGGUUUCAUUAGCACAGUGGUUAUGCUAUGAGCCUUAAAUUUGGUAGGCAUGGGGUUUAGGUCUUGGUAGCAGCUUCAAUGCAAGUGAGAUUUAACACUGGCAUGGCCAGGAUUUUAUAUUGGAGGUGGAGGUCUCCAUGGUCCAUCCUCUGGCUUUGCAAUUAAGUUUUGAUGUUUUGUGAUGGGAGCUGAUUACCCAGCAGACACUGCAAGAUCCAUGUACCAUGUAAUCAGGUGAUGCUGACUUGGCUCAAGUGAGACCAAGCUUGAAUGAAGCACAGCCCUGUCAAGUAGUCCCAUACUGAAACGUGUAUCUAUAUAUGGUUCAAGCAAGCUGUCCUGGGCACACUCAGGAAGG